rnacentral:rRNA from 1 species
UGUUUGAUGUUCUAACGUUGACCCGUGAUCCGGGUUGCGGACAGUGUCUGGUGGGUAGUUUGACUGGGGCGGUCUCCUCCUAAAGAGUAACGGAGGAGCACGAAGGUUGGCUAAUCCUGGUCGGACAUCAGGAGGUUAGUGCAAUGGCAUAAGCCAGCUUGACUGCGAGCGUGACGGCGCGAGCAGGUGCGAAAGCAGGUCAUAGUGAUCCGGUGGUUCUGAAUGGAAGGGCCAUCGCUCAACGGAUAAAAGGUACUCCGGGGAUAACAGGCUGAUACCGCCCAAGAGUUCAUAUCGACGGCGGUGUUUGGCACCUCGAUGUCGGCUCAUCACAUCCUGGGGCUGAAGUAGGUCCCAAGGGUAUGGCUGUUCGCCAUUUAAAGUGGUACGCGAGCUGGGUUUAGAACGUCGUGAGACAGUUCGGUCCCUAUCUGCCGUGGGCGCUGGAGAACUGAGGGGGGCUGCUCCUAGUACGAGAGGACCGGAGUGGACGCAUCACUGGUGUUCGGGUUGUCAUGCCAAUGGCACUGCCCGGUAGCUAAAUGCGGAAGAGAUAAGUGCUGAAAGCAUCUAAGCACGAAACUUGCCCCGAGAUGAGUUCUCCCUGACUCCUUGAGAGUCCUGAAGGAACGUUGAAG